UUGCGUCACAGUAGUGCACACAGGCUUUGUGAUAUAAACUAAUAGUAAAAAAGAGGCACUGAUGAAAAGAUGGAACUUGGAAGUGUUGAAAGACUUUGAUGUGAAAGUUGAACACAUUUUCUGAUGAGGGGAAUAAUUUGUUGGGAGUCAAGUACUUGAAACUUUGAAAGAGAAAUAUGAAGAAGAAAGUAUAAAAACGUCACUUGAUACUGCUAACAAUUUCCUUCACAUACUCUACAUCUAAACUACCAUGAAAAAGCUUCAAAUACCAGUCUCCCAUGUACCCAUGAUGCAACUGUGUACUUGGUGUGGUACCUAUUUUAUUCAGUGAAGAGAGUCCUGUACCACAUUAUCAAUAGCACAAAUUGACAAGAGAAGCCACUUCCCCAGAAGAAGGAUCUUCAUUUACUAUCUUAGAUUUUGAAAUAAAAAAAGAAAAAGAUGAAGUACCAAAGGAAACUGGG